UUCCGGAUCCUCGAGGUUGCGUCACUUCCUGCUUCCUUCCUUUCACCUUUUUCAAGGCUUCAGCAGUGCAGAGCUGUGGGACGCUAAUACCGACGCUUGUUGGAUGAAGAAACAAUUCAGAUUUGACCAAGAUGACAUGUAGGAGUUGGGGAAUUGGAACCUACUAUGACUGACUCCAAAUACACAGAUACAGUGCUUAUAGCUACUUGCAUAUAGGUCUCCCUGUGGCCCCAGCUUGCCUGGAACUCACUACACUGACACUGUUGGCCUUGAUCUCACAAAGAACCCCCAACUCAAAAGUGUGCACCACAUGCCCAAGCCUUGUUUGCUUUGCUGAGACUGCAUCUCACCAUGAAGCCCUGGGUCUUGAAUUCCAUACGUAGACCAGGCUGGCCUGGAACUCAAGAAAUCUGCCUGCCUCUUCCUCCCAAGUGCUAGGAUUAAAGGCAUGCACCACCAAGCAAGAACUCUUGUUUUGUUUGCAAUAUUUCUGGUAACCCUGGCUAGGCUCCAACUGGUUACAUAUGCUGAGACUGUCCUUGAACUCCUGAUCCACCUGUCUUCACCUUCCAAGUGUUGGGAUUAUAAGUAUGAAUACUAUGCCUGGACUAAGCAAUCUUAAAAUAAUUUUAAAAGGUAUUUAAAUAAAGUAUAUGUUUAUGAUUUAAAGAAGUGAACAUUUCCAGAGGCAGAAUAUA